CUGGGAUCCCUCUGUAUAUACUUAUAUACAGACAUGUGUACAGUUAUAGUUGUACCUAGGUAGUUAUAGGUAUAUAGAUAUUUACAUAUGUAGACUGAAUAUUUGUAUAGGUAUAUUUAUAUAUUUAUCUAGUUAUAUAUGUACCUAGUUGUAUUUAUGUAUGUAUCUAGUUGUGUUUAUAUAUGUGUGUUAUAUUUCUAUCUGUAUUUAGUUAUAAUUACAUAUGUGUGCAGUUGUAUAGCUAUAUAGUUAUAUUAUUCUAGUUAUAGGUAUAUGGAUUUUUAGAUGCA